UCGGGGGUGGUGUAACUGGCAACACGACUGGUUCUGGUCCAGUUAUUGAGGGUUCGAUUCCUUCCCCCCGAG
rnacentral:tRNA from 1 species